rnacentral:rRNA from 1 species
GACGAACGCUGGCGGCGUGCUUAACACAUGCAAGUCGAACGGAAAGGCCCUGCUUUUGUGUGGUGCUCGAGUGGCGAACGGGUGAGUAACACGUGAGUAACCUGCCCUUGACUUUGGGAUAACUUCAGGAAACUGGGUCUAAUACCGGAUAUGAGCUCCUGCUGCAUGGUGGGGGGUGGAAAGUUUCGGCGGUGGGGGAUGGGCGCGCGGCUUAUCAGCUUGUUGGUGGGGUAGUGGCUUACCAAGGCUUUGACGGGUAGCCGGCCUGAGAGGGUGACCGGCCACAUUGGGACUGAGAUACGGACCAGUGUCCUACGGGAGGCAGCAGUGGGGAAUAUUGCACAAUGGGCGGAAGCCUGAUGCAGCAACGCCGCGUGCGGGAUGACGGCCUUCGGGUUGUAAAACGCUUUCGCCUGUGACGAAGCGUGAGUGACGGUAAUGGGUAAAGAAGCACCGGCUAACUACGUG